GAUGGACCCGCGUCUGAUUAGCUGGUUGGUAGGGUAAAGGCCUACCAAGGCGACGAUCAGUAGCCGACCUGAGAGGGUGACCGGCCACAUUGGGACUGAGACACGGCCCAAACUCCUACGGGAGGCAGCAGUGGGGAAUAUUGCACAAUGGGCGAAAGCCUGAUGCAGCGACGCCGCGUGAGUGAAGAAGUAUUUCGGUAUGUAAAGCUCUAUCAGCAGGGAAGAAAAUGACGGUACCUGACUAAGAAGCCCCGGCUAACUACGUGCCAGCAGCCGCGGUAAUACGUAGGGGGCAAGCGUUAUCCGGAUUUACUGGGUGUAAAGGGAGCGUAGACGGCAAUGCAAGUCUGGAGUGAAAACCCAGGGCUCAACCCUGGGACUGCUUUGGAAACUGCGUAGCUGGAGUGUUGGAGAGGUAAGUGGAAUUCCUAGUGUAGCGGUGAAAUGCGUAGAUAUUAGGAGGAACACCAGUGGCGAAGGCGACUUACUGGACAAUAACUGACGUUGAGGCUCGAAAGCGUGGGGAGCAAACAGGAUUAGAUACCCUGGUAGUCCACGCC
rnacentral:rRNA from 1 species